UGGCUGGCAGGAUGAAACCAUAGCGACCGGUAUCCCUCAGCUCGAAGGCAAAGGAGUACUUGAUGCCCAGGUUGUAAGACCAGUCAAUGCUGCCGCCGCUGGCUUGAUCUGAGAGGAGAGGAAGAGCUCAGGCUGAUGGGGCACGUCUCUGCAGGAGUAGCCGUGGGGGUACAUGAGCAGCUGGGAGUAGGCAUGGACGGAGAUGAAGGACUUGAAGUUGCCGUGGCUCUUGAUCAGGUUCACCACGUUCUUCACCUCAAUCUCAGAUUUUCUUUAUAGUCUCUGGAGGAGAUCUAACACAUUUCAGUUCAACUUAUCGCCCGCUCUCGUCGACGUGUUAUACCUUGUUGGCCGUCCACACUCCGGUAGCCUGAGACACCCAUUCUCUGGAGUGGAUGCCCGUG